AACGAACGCUGGCGGCAGGCUUAACACAUGCAAGUCGAACGCGUGUAGCAAUACACGAGUGGCGCACGGGUGAGUAACGCGUGGAUAUCUGCCUUUUGGUUCGGAAUAACUCCGGGAAACUGGAGCUAAUACCGGAUGGUUCCUACGGGAUAAAGAUUUAUCGCCAAAAGAUGAGUCCGCGUACGAUUAGCUAGUUGGUGAGGUAAUGGCUCACCAAGGCGACGAUCGUUAGCUGGUCUGAGAGGACGAUCAGCCACACUGGGACUGAGACACGGCCCAGACUCCUACGGGAGGCAGCAGUGGGGAAUAUUGGACAAUGGGGGCAACCCUGAUCCAGCCAUGCCGCGUGAGUGAUGAAGGCCUCGGUGUAAGCCUUUUGUCCGGAAAGAAAGACACUGGAUUAAUACUUCGGUGUUCUGACGGUACCGGAAGAAUAAGCACCGGCUAACUUCGUGCCAGCAGCCGCGGUAAU
rnacentral:rRNA from 1 species